UUCAGAGGAACCUGUCCUGUAAUUGAUGAUCCACGAUUUGAAUAACUUAUUUUAUUAGUUUAUAUAUCGUCGUAGGUUGAAUAUUUUAUUAGAAUUAUAAUAUUCAAGAUUUUUUAAGAAAAAUUAAAUCAGAUCAAGAUGUAGUUUAUAAAUAAGGAGAGAUGGGUUACAAUAGAAUUAUUUAAACGAAUUAUUUAUUUAAAAAUAAAUAUAAAGGUGGAUUUGAUAGUAAUUUUAAUUAAAUUAUUAAAAUGAUUUUAGCUCUAAAAUAUGUACAUAUCGCCCGUCAUUUUCACUAUAAAGUGAAACAAGUCGUAACAUAGUAGGUGUACUGGAAAGUGUACCUAGAAAGUCAAAUUAGAGCUUGUUAGAAAGCAUUUUAUUUACAUUAAAAAGUUUAUUGUGAAAAUCAAUAUAAUUUGAAUUUUAUUAUUUAUUUAAAUUUAAAGUUUAAUUUUAGUUAAAAAAAGUAAUUUUUAGUUUUAUUAUUAAAAAGAAAUAAUUUUUUUUAUUAUAGUAUAUUAGUAUUGUGAGAGAAAAUAUUUAAAUUUAUUAAAGAAUAAUUAAUUUUUAGUACCUUGUGUAUCAGGGUUUAUUAAAUAACAAUUAAAGAUUUAAUUUUCUCGAAUUUAAAAGAGCUAUAAAAAUAUAAUUUUUAAUGUAUCAUAAUUAUUGUUAAUAUUUUUAUAGAAAUGAAAUGUUAUUCGUUUUUAAAUAUAUCUAGUUUUUUAAGAAAUAAAUUUAAUUUAAUUAAUAUAAAUAUUUUGUUAAAUUAAUAAUAAAAUAUUAAUAUUAUUAAAUAUUUUAGGGGAUGAGCUUUAAAAUAUAGUUUUAUAAAUAAAUAUGAAUAUUUAAAUAAAUAGGAUUGUAAAUUUUCAUUUUUAGUAAUAUGUUAUAAUUAUUUUAAAUUAAUAUAUGAUUUAUAUUUAUUUUAAUUUUUUUAUUAAAAUGUUAAUUAUAAUUAUAAAAAUUAAGUAAUAAUGAUAAAAUUAGUAUAAUUUUUUGUAUAAUUAAUAAAUUAUAAGGUUAAAUAAAGGAAUUCGGCAAAUUAUUUUCACCUAAAAACAUGGCCUUUUGAUUUUAAUUUAAGGUCUAACCUGCCCAAUGAAAAUUUAAAUGGCCGCGGUAUUUUGACCGUGCAAAGGUAGCAUAAUCAUUUGUUUUUUAAUUGAAAGCUGGAAUGAAGGGUUGAAUGAGAAAAUAGCUGUCUCUGUUUAAUUUAAUUAGAAUUUUAUUUUUAAGUUAAAAAGCUUAAAUUUAAUUUGAAGACGAGAAGACCCUAUAGAGUUUAAUAAUUAUAAAUUUAAUUAAUUUAGAAUUAAUUUUUUUUAAGUAAAAUAAUUAUUUAAUUGGGGUGAUUAAAAAAUUAAAUUAACUUUUUUUGUAUAAAAACAUUAAUUAAUGAAUGAUUGAUCCUUUAAAAGAUUAAAAGAAUAAAUUACCUUAGGGAUAACAGCGUUAUUUUUCUUUAGAGUUCUAAUCGAAAGAAAAGAUUGCGACCUCGAUGUUGGAUUAAAAUUAAUUUUUGGUGUAGAAGCUAAAAAAUUGGGUCUGUUCGACCCUUAAAAUUUUACUUGAUCUGAGUUCAAACCGGUGUGAGCCAGGUUGGUUUCUAUCUCGAAUUAGUUAAAAUAUUUUAGUACGAAAGGAUCAAAUAUUUAAUUAAUAAUUUUUAUAAUGAAUAAUAUUAAUAUAAUGUUAUUUUGGCAGAAUAGUGCGAUGGAUUUAGAAUCUUUAUAUGUAAUUUUUACAAAUAACACUUGAUAUUGCAAGAUUUAUUUUUAAUAUUAAUUUCUAGUUUAAUGUUGGCUUUUUGUGUUAUAAUUGGGGUUGCUUUUUUGACUUUAUUAGAACGUAAAGUUUUAGGAUAUAUUCAAAUUC
rnacentral:rRNA from 1 species